rnacentral:lncRNA from 1 species
GACAGCAACCGCCACUGCUCUUAAGACAGGUGGACCAUCCUGUGGCUGCAGUGUUCAACCAUUUGGACAGGUCUUAUGCAAGCUACAUGAUUGCUGUGGGUUCAUAUGUGCAAGAUCAAGCCAGACAAAAUCCCAGCAUGGAAAGGAAGCAAAGUCUCAUGAUGUGGCCUAGACUUUCCUACAACUUGUGAUCCUCCUGCUCCACCUUCUGAGGGCUGGGAUGAUGGGAGGAAGCCAGGCCUUCCUGAAUGCUAAGCAAGUACGGCAGCAACCAAGCCAUAUUCCAGCCCAUUCUGCCUUCCGUUGCUUUUUAUUGGUGUGUGUGUGGGGGGGGGGGUGCAUGCACGCCUGAAUGAAGCAUGCAUAGUUUUUUUUUUCUUUUUUCUUUUUUUUUUCGGAGCUGGGGACCGAACCCAGGGCCUUGCGGUCGCUAGGCAAGCGCUCUACCGCUGAGCUAAAUCCCCAACCCCGCAUGCAUAGUUUUUAUUCAUACAGCUCAGUGUCUUUGGAGGCCAGAAGAGGGCGUCAUAUCCCUUGGAGCUAGAGUUAAAAGUGGUUGUCAGCCGGCUGAUAUCAGUCCAAUCCCAGCUGAGCCUCUCUCCAGUCCUUCCUCUUUCCGUUAUAACUUGGUUACAUUUAGUUUCUUUUUCUUAUCUACUUUCCCUGGCUAGGAUGUCAGGUACA